UGUAAAAAAAUGUUUGAUGCAUUUAGUUUUUUGAUUACUAAAGUUAAAGUUUAAUUCUUUAUUUUACAA
rnacentral:tRNA from 1 species